rnacentral:rRNA from 1 species
CGGACGGGUGAGUAACACGUGAGCAACCUGCCUUUCAGUGGGGGACAACAGUUGGAAACGACUGCUAAUACCGCAUAACGUGCCGGAAGGGCAUCCUUUUGGUACCAAAGAUUUAUCGCUGAAAGAUGGGCUCGCGUCUGAUUAGAUAGUUGGUGAGGUAACGGCCCACCAAGUCGACGAUCAGUAGCCGGACUGAGAGGUUGAUCGGCCACAUUGGGACUGAGACACGGCCCAGACUCCUACGGAAGGCAGCAG